rnacentral:rRNA from 1 species
CCUGUGAUAAUAUUUAACGGCCGCGGUACCUUGACCGUGCGAAGGUAGCAUAAUCACUUGUCUUUUAAAUGAAGACUUGUAUGAAAGGCAUCACGAGAAUUUAACUGUCUCUAUUUUCUAAUCAAUGAAAUUGAUUUAUUCGUGCAGAAGCGAAUAUAAUGACAUUAGACGAGAAGACCCUAUGGAGCUUUAAACACUUAAAUUAAUUAUAUAAUAAUUUUUCUCUCAGGAUUUAAACUCAAUAUAUAAUAAUUUUAAUUUAACUGUUUUCGGUUGGGGUGACCAA